rnacentral:tRNA from 1 species
GCAUCCGUAGCUCAGCUGGAUAGAGUACUCGGCUACNNAGCGGUCGGAGGUUCGAAUCCUCCCGGAUGCACCA